rnacentral:misc_RNA from 1 species
GAUGAAGAACGUAGCGAAAUGCGAUACGUAAUGUGAAUUGCAAAUUCAGUGAAUCAUCGAGUCUUUGAACGCACAUUGCGCCCCCUGGUAUUCCGGGGGGCAUGCCUGUCCGAGCGUCAUUGCUGCCCUCAAGCACGGCUUGUGUGUUGGGCCCCGUCCUCCGAUCCCGGGGGACGGGCCCGAAAGGCAGCGGCGGCACCGCGUCCGGUCCUCGAGCGUACGGGGCUUUGUCACCCGCUCUGUAGGCCCGGCCGGCGCUUGCCGAUCAACCCAAAUUUUUAUCCAGGUUGACCUCGGAUCAGGUAGGGAUACCCGCUGAACUUAAGCAUAUCAAUAAGCGGAGGA